AUACAGAGGAGUAGAACGAGCUGCUAUGCUGAGCAAAAUGCAUUAAAGAACCAGAAUGAAAAGUUUCCUGCUUCAGUCCAGUGACCUUUUACUGGUAACUCGGAUAUUUUAUGUCUAAUGAUCUCUUAACCCAACCCUGCCUCCACCUUCAUAUCCAUCCAUUUUUAAACUUGGCAAGAGCUUACUGGCUUGGAAUGCUGUGCAUAAGGCAAAUACUUCAGGAAAGGUAUCAUUUGAGCAUGGACCUCAUGGGACACGACUCUCCAUCACGGCUUCAGCUCACCCAAAGACCUACAGAUAAGUACAGAAGUCAUAACCUCCCACCUCCUGAAUGUCUCAUGAUUCAGAUCCCAAAUGCCUUAUAAACCAAAACGUUAUAUGAAUGGGGCAUAUUGUUUUCAUGUAUGCAAACUCAAGCCUUGAAAACUACAGAAUACAGACAGACCUAGAAAUGAUUAAUGGCAGACUAAUGAGACUGUAUAAGUAUGCAGUCCAUGAAUAGAACCUAUAAAAAAU